rnacentral:rRNA from 1 species
UACAGAGGUCCCAAGCGUUGUUCGGAUUCAUUGGGCGUAAAGGGUGCGUAGGCGGCGCGGUAAGUCGGGUGUGAAAUCUCGGAGCUUAACUCCGAAACUGCAUUCGAUACUGCCGUGCUUGAGGACUGGAGAGGAGACUGGAAUUUACGGUGUAGCGGUGAAAUGCGCAGAUAUCAGGAGGAACACCGGUGGCGAAGGCGGAUCUCUGGGCCGUAACUGACGCUGAGGAGCGAAAGCAUGGGGAGCGAACAGG